UACGUAGGGGGCAAGCGUUGUCCGGAAUCAUUGGGCGUAAAGCGCGUGUAGGCGGCCCGGUAAGUCCGCUGUGAAAGUCCAGGGCUCAACCCUGGAAUGCCGGUGGAUACUGUCGGGCUCGAGUCCGGAAGAGGCGAGUGGAAUUCCUGGUGUAGCGGUGAAAUGCGCAGAUAUCAGGAGGAACACCGAUGGCGAAGGCAGCUCGCUGGGACGGGACUGACGCUGAGACGCGAAAGCGUGGGGAGCAAACGGG
rnacentral:rRNA from 1 species